CCACUGCUUGGUCCCUCAGCCCCAGGGAGAGCUGUGUCCUCAGGAGCACUGACUGCUGUGUCCCACGGCUGUGAUGCACUGAGGGAUGGGGAUACAGGUGCUUCGGGGGCAGCACCGAGGUCGGGACUCACUGCUGCCUCUGCUCCAUUGUUGGCCUCAAACACAGCACCAUCCACAGCAGCUGGAG